GUUUGUAAGUUUGCGUAUUAUACGCAUAACCAUAACGUUUAAUUCAAUAAUGUCCUGUUUGCCGAACCUAUAUGAAAAAUCCGUAUAAUACGCGGAUUUUAUAAGCCUCCGUAUUGUACACGAAUCAUACGUGUUUAAAUCGUUCAACCCAAUUGCUACGUUUUGUUUUUAUUCACAAAAUCCCCAACGCAUCCCAUUCCUUUUGUCUGCAACUGAAAACCAAAGCUUGCAGCGGCUGAGAAACGGUAGCGGCGGUGACAGCAAGGGCUAGUUCAACGACGGCAACGGCAAGUGCAGUGGCGACGGCGACGAUCUCCAUUCGCUGUUUUCUCCAUACAAAAAUUUCCAAUACAGAACAAUGAUGGUUUGGUGAGAUGCUCUACCUAAAUGUCAAAAUGUGAAGAGUGCCUAACCUUAAGAGUAGGUGACCCAGUAAUUGGAAUCCCACUCUUCCGCUAUUCAGUGUAAGAGAAAUGAAGACUCACUUCACACACAUGCAGAUUCACCAGACUCAGAAGUUGCUGGCAAUGGGGGUGUUUUAAAGCACAAGUGAAGACAGGAAAGUUGAACCCAUGACCUCCUGGGGCACCUGCACUCAACUGGUAUGGUGUAUGAAUCCAGGGCAGCUCAAGGAUCGUGACACGCAAGCAACUGAUGUGGCUGGGACCCAAACACGAUGCAGGGGAGAAUGAGCGAGAAGGAAACCAAAAGCAUUGGAUGCCUUUGUGUGGAUUUAGGGAGAGUAACAUGAUGGAGAGAGACCAAUUGGUAGCUGGGCAAGGAAUAUUAUGUUUUCUAUGUUUUCUGUUUUCAAUUUUUUUUUCUUCUCUCUUUAUCUUUUGUAGGAGGUUUGUUUCUCUUCUGAAUGUAUCCAUGGAAUGACUGACUCAGCUAGAAUGAAAUUACACUUCAGUGAUUGGAUA